GGAUUCAGAAUGUGUUGCUGGACUUCAAGAUAGGAAGAAUCUUUGCCUUGAUGGCUGAUGACAGUAACCACCCCACCUACCAUCAUCUAUUAAGGAUUUACUGUGUGGUCACUUUACAGUCAUCCAAGUAAAUUUUCGUAAUCACCUGAUUACAUGGGUACCGCUUUUCAGAAAAAGAAACAGAUUUCUGGAGGGAUUCAGAAUCCAUGGCUGGAAGAGGUAGUAAGGCCAUUGGGAGGGGUCUCCAUUCUGAAAUUUCCAUUCAGCUGACAGAAGAGAGCUGCUACCUCACUUCAGCAAUGGAAAAUGUUGCUGUAAAUCCCAUCGGACCAGCCAGUUUCUCACGACCCUUUAAAACUGAAAACGGAUGACCCGGUCCUAGGCAGGGACCAAAAUUCCUUGUCAGCUGAGGAAGUCCCGAAGAAACAUCCUGAAGAUGAUGACUGCACUGCCAUCGUGGGCAGAUGCAGCUUCCAUCUACCUGAGGGCUGAAGGGGAAAACCUUUCACACACGUGAGGAAGGCGCAGCUCUGUGGAAAGGUCACUAGAAUGGCAGCGGCAGCAAAUAGGGCUCCAAUGCACGUUUGCAGUUAACUGGGUCCAAGGAGAGCAUGGCCCUCCACAGCAAGUUUGCUCUAUAGAAUAAAGUCCUGAGCUUGUUUUUAUCACAGUUAGACAGAGAAUGGUCUCCUGUUUCUCAGUUAUCCAGGGAAGAACAGUGUAUAUUCUCUGUAGAUGAGUGUUGUCUAAUGUAGUGAUUAAUCUCUGCUAGUGUUAGGAAAGCUCCACUACUGUGUGUGUGUGUGUGCGUGCACGCGCGUGCGCAUGUGCACAUACUGCAAUCUUGACUUUCCAAUUACAGAAUGCCUAAGUCAGGUCACAUUGUCUUCUUCCAGCCAGUUUCUAAGGCAGGCAAUGGAAACAGGAGCCGAUGCCAAAUGGUCUAGAGGCAGAAGGGCUGCAUGCUUUGCAGGGCCAGCCCCAAGGCUGCCUUCCAGAGCUGCACUUUCUCUGGGGACAGUAAACUCUCACCGCAGCUGCCAGCCCCCUGUGCUUGGCCAUGCCCCUCACAUGGACUUGGAAUCAGUGUCUCUCUUGCUGAUGAGCACCUCCAGGAGCCUCAGUUUCGCCUUUAUGUGCUUAUAUUCACUGUAUUCUUCAGCCAUAGGAGUGCGGUCUUCCUUCUGGACAUUUCUAAUGCAAAUAAAGGAAAAAGGGGUCUAAGGA